AAGACUAUAGACCUGCGGAGUACCAGCGGAAGGAUCAUUAUUGAAUUAUGUUUCUAAAUGGGUUGUAGCUGGCUCGUCAGAGCAUGUGCACGCCUGUUUGGACUUCAUUUUCAUCCACCUGUGCACCUAUUGUAGUCUUUGGUUGGGUAUCAAGGAAGUGGUCAGCCUAUCAGCACUUGCUGGAUGUGAGGACUUGCAGUGUGAAAGCUUUGCUGUCCUUUACUUGAUCAUGGAGUUGUU
rnacentral:misc_RNA from 1 species